GGCUGAAAGCAUUGGUUCUCGUCCGAUCGCCGAAAUUAAGCAUCAUCGGGUGCGUGCAUUACUUGGGUGACUGAGCACCUGGGAAUACUGCUUGCCGU